rnacentral:misc_RNA from 1 species
AAAGUCGUAACAAGGUUUCCGUAGGUGAACCUGCGGAAGGAUCAUUACUGCUUGCUCACGGCGCCGUCUCGGGCAACCGAACGGCGUCGGGCACGCCACCCUUGUCUAUCAACACCUAUAUCCCUUGGCGGGGCAACCCGUCAGUGGACAUUGUAAAACCCUUUGCAUGUAGCAUCUUAUCUGAAACACAAACAAAUAAUCAAAACUUUCAACAAUGGAUCUCUUGGUUCUG